UGAGAGAGAGAGACCAGAGAGCAAGAUCAAGGAAAGAACAAGGUCCACAUUUGAAUGCUAGUUACUCAGAAGUCACAGAAAUGCAUUAAUUAUUAGCCAACACGGGCAAUUCUUAACUAAAGGGCUCUGUACCAGGAUCUGCGAGCUUCAGGCUUUCCUAUGCAAUGUCUUCGUGAACAUAUCCUGGACAUCUGCCUCAAAGAAUUCAUGAACCCUGGAUGGCAGCAGAUCUUCUAAAUAUGAAGGCCUUUUACCUCCAGUUACAGAAGAUGCUACCAAAUUCAGACAGGAAUUAGGAAGAUUAGUAGCCAUUCGCAAAUCUACUCACGGGGACCACGUCUGGUUAUUAAGGGAUGUUCCUCGCAUCCACGAUUAUACUGUAGUUAUCAGACAAGCUAAAUGACUCCUUUGGGAACUUCCUCCCCCAGAGGAAACAAAUGGCUGUAAUUUCUCCCAGGCUCUGCUACAAAUGACCUGGAAAUGUCUCAAAUGGAGGCUGAUAUUCAGGGGCUGAUAGAAGCAACAGCAGAAACUCCUCCAACUAAGGUGAAUUGGUCUAAGGUUGAAUCAUACACUCGGAAAGAUGAGCAUCUAAAGGCCUUUGCUGAACCCUUCAUACAGAUUUUUUUCUUAAGGCAGCUACUUCAAACCCCGAAGUUCUCGAAUAUAGAAAUCUUUUCAUUUAUACCUGAGUUAGAAAUCUCCUUGAUAUAAAGAAGGAAAUGAGAGAAUAUGUGGUUGAACGGGAAAAUCGGCCUAUUCAUAUUAUUCAGGGCACAACUCAAUUCUUUGCGCAAAUGGGAACAAUUGUCUCUAUCUUGCAAAUCUCUACAAAACCAGAAAUGCAGCUCUGGGAACACUUCAAAGUCCACCUAUCCUUACCAAAACAGUAUCUCCCUCAUUCAUCUCAAAAAGCUUGCUGAUAUUGUGAAAGAUCAGGACCUUAGAAACAGAACUGGCCCUGCACUUAAAAGAAGGAAGAAGUUUAAUAGUAAUUACUCCAGACCUCUGAUAAUAGCCUGCUCGUCUCCUUUCCGCUGUUAACCGACCAAGUACAUCUUUAAUUUCCAAGACCGAUGGUGUGGUAGCAGUUGAGAGCAAGAGUGAUUUGCAUAAAGCCCCAGAAGGGUGCCAAAACUCUUCACGCUUUAAACAACAGCCUUUAUUAUUCUGUAAGUGGAUGUGUUGAAUUUUCAUGCUUUUGUUUCCAGUUCAGCCCUGACAGAAAAGAAUAAAGUAGAUUUUGCCAGCACCCCUGCUGUGCCCUGGGGGAGAAAUUCAAUGUGCCUCAUUUGUCUUAAUUGGAGAACCGCCCUCAGCACCAGCUUUUUCUAUGAAUACAUUAGCAUAACAGACAGAAAAUUCAAGCCCACUUUUGUGGCAGCCGUCACCCCCCCCCCCACCCAGCACCACGCACACCUCCCAUUUGAACACUAAUAAAAACUGCACGAGGGGAGAAGUACUUGUUUCAUCUCCUGGAUUUCUCAUAGUUGGUGUUGUAAAAUUCUCUGUACAGGAGAGAUGUAUCAAGCCUAUUUUAUCUCUGCGCUGUUAUUAGAGCCGGCAGUGAAAAAUGUGAUAAAUAUCAUCCAUGACAGAGAGCUGAAAGCUUCUCUUUAUUCUUUAUAAUGUGCUAAUCCUAUAUACUUGUUCUGUGACUGGUUAUGCUGCUUUUUCAGAGGGGAGAGUUGGUUUUACAGAGACAAAUGGGGAGCAGCUAUGAAUGAACCUGGGGGGGGGGGAGAAAAAAAAAGAAGAAAGAAAAAUUCUUACCGAGGUGAAUUUAUUAGCACUAAAACAAACG